rnacentral:rRNA from 1 species
UUGAAAUUUUUUAAUUAUUAUUUAUUUUAAUUUAAAUUUUAUUAAAAUAAGAAAAUUUUAUUUUAUUAUAAAAUAGAAAAAAUUAAUUUUAUUAUAGUUAAUUAUUAUUGAGAAAGAAUUUUAUAAUUAUAAAAAAGAAAAAUUUAUUUUUUGUACCUUGUGUAUCAGGGUUUAUUAAUAAAUGAUUAAAAUUAAUUUAUCUCGAAUUUAAAAGAGCUAAAAAAUUAUAUUUUUUAUUAUAAAAUAAAUAUUAAUAAUAAUUUUUUAGUAAUGAAAUGUUAUUCGUUUUUAAAAUUAUCUAGUUUUUUAAGAAAUAAAUUAAAUUUAUUUAUUAAUAAAUAAAAAUUUAAAUUUUUAAAUUUUUAUUAUUAAUAUUUAAUAUUUUUAGGGAUGAGCUUAAAAAUAAAUUUUUAUUAAUUUAUAAAUUAAAUAAAAUUGUAGAAUUAAAAUUUUUUAUCAAUAAAAAAAUGUUAUAAUUAAUUUAUAAUAAAAAAUUAUUUAUAUUAAUAUAUUAAAUUAUUUAUUAAAAUAUUAAUUUAAAUUAUUUAAAUUAAGUAAUUAUGAUAAAAUUAGUAUAAAUUAAUAUAUAAAUAAAAAUAUUAAAUUUAGGUUAGAUAAAGGAAUUCGGCAAAUUAUUUUUUACCUGUUUAUUAAAAACAUGUCUUUUUGUUAAUAAUUUAAAGUCUGGCCUGCCCAAUGAAUAUUUAAUGGCCGCGGUAUUUUGACCGUGCUAAGGUAGCAUAAUCAAUAGUUUUUUAAUUUAAAGCUGGAAUGAAGGGUUGGAUAAGAAAAUAACUGUCUUUAUUUAAUUUAAUUAGAAUUUUAUUUUUAAGUUAAAAAGCUUAAAUUUAAUUAAAAGACGAGAAGACCCUAUAGAGUUUAAUAAUAAAAUAUAUUUUUAAUUUAAGAAUUUAAUUUAUAAAUAUAUUAAAUUAUUUAAUUGGGGUGAUUAAAAAAUUUAAUUAACUUUUUUUAUAUUUUUACAUUAAUAAAUGAAUUUUUGAUCCAUAAUUAAUGAUUAUAAGAUAAAAUUACCUUAGGGAUAACAGCGUUAUUUUUUUUAAGAGUUCUAAUCGAAAAAAAAGAUUGCGACCUCGAUGUUGGAUUAAAAUUAAUUUUUGGUGUAGAAGCUAAAAUAUUAGGUCUGUUCGACCUUUAAAAUUUUACAUGAUCUGAGUUUAAACCGGUGUAAGCCAGGUUGGUUUCUAUCUUUAAUAAAAAAAAAUAUUUUAGUACGAAAGGAUUAAAUA